GUAGGGAAUAUUGCACAAUGGAGGAAACUCUGAUGCAGCGACGCCGCGUGAGUGAUGAAGGCCUUCGGGUCGUAAAGCUCUGUCGCAGGGGAAUAACACAAUGAAGGUACCCUGUAAGAAAGGAUCGGCUAACUUCGUGCCAGCAGCCGCGGUAAGAUGAGGGAUCCUAGCGUUGUUCGGAAUCAUUGGGCGUAAAGCGGAUGUAGGUGGCUAUGUAAGUCAGAUGUGAAAGCCUGGGGCUCAACCCCAGAAGUGCAUUUGAUACUGCGUAGCUUGAGUGUCGGAGAGGUUACUAGAAUUGUUGGUGUAGUGGUGAAAUACGUAGAUAUCAACAGGAAUACCGGAGGCGAAGGCGGGUAACUGGCCGAACACUGACACUGAGAUCCGAAAGCGUGGGGAUCAAACAGGAUUAGAUACCCGUGUAGUCC
rnacentral:rRNA from 1 species